AUUGAACGCUGGCGGCAUGCCUUACACAUGCAAGUCGAACGGCAGCACGGGUGCUUGCACCUGGUGGCGAGUGGCGAACGGGUGAGUAAUACAUCGGAACAUGUCCUGUAGUGGGGGAUAGCCCGGCGAAAGCCGGAUUAAUACCGCAUACGAUCUACGGAUGAAAGCGGGGGACCUUCGGGCCUCGCGCUAUCGGGUUGGCCGAUGGCUGAUUAGCUAGUUGGUGGGGUAAAGGCCUACCAAGGCGACGAUCAGUAGCUGGUCUGAGAGGACGACCAGCCACACUGGGAGUGAGACACGGCCCAGACUCCUACGGGAGGCAGCAGUGGGGAAUUUUGGACAAUGGGCGAAAGCCUGAUCCAGCAAUGCCGCGUGUGUGAAGAAGGCCUUCGGGUUGUAAAGCACUUUUGUCCGGAAAGAAAUCCUUGGCCCUAAUACGGUCGGGGGAUGACGGUACCGGAAGAAUAAGCACCGGCUAACUACGUG
rnacentral:rRNA from 1 species